UACGAAGGGGGCUAGCGUUGUUCGGAAUCACUGGGCGUAAAGGGCGCGUAGGCGGCUUUAUAAGUCGGGGGUGAAAGCCUGUGGCUCAACCACAGAAUUGCCUUCGAUACUGUAUGGCUCGAGGCCGGAAGAGGUAAGUGGAACUGCGAGUGUAGAGGUGAAAUUCGUAGAUAUUCGCAAGAACACCAGUGGCGAAGGCGGCUUACUGGUCCGGUUCUGACGCUGAGGCGCGAAAGCGUGGGGAGCAAACAGG
rnacentral:rRNA from 1 species